rnacentral:rRNA from 1 species
GACGAACGCUGGCGGCGUGCCUAAUACAUGCAAGUAGAACGCUGAAGGAGGAGCUUGCUUCUCUGGAUGAGUUGCGAACGGGUGAGUAACGCGUAGGUAACCUGCCUGGUAGCGGGGGAUAACUAUUGGAAACGAUAGCUAAUACCGCAUAAUAGUAGAUGUUGCAUGACAUUUGCUUAAAAGGUGCAAUUGCAUCACUACCAAAUGGACCUGCGUUGUAUUAGCUAGUUGGUGGGGUAACGGCUCACCAAGGCAACGAUACACAGCCGACCUGAGAGGGUGAUCGGCCACACUGGGACUGAGACACGGCCCAGACUCCUACGGGAGGCAGCAGUAGGGAAUCUUCGGCAAUGGACGGAAGUCUGACCGAGCAACGCCGCGUGAGUGAAGAAGGUUUUCGGAUCGUAAAGCUCUGUUGUAAGAGAAGAACGAGUGUGAGAGUGGAAAGUUCACACUGUGACGGUAUCUUACCAGAAAGGGACGGCUAACUACGUGCCAGCAGCCGCGGUAAUACGUAGGUCCCGAGCGUUGUCCGGAUUUAUUGGGCGUAAAGCGAGCGCAGGCGGUUAGAUAAGUCUGAAGUUAAAGGCUGUGGCUUAACCAUAGUACGCUUUGGAAACUGUUUAACUUGAGUGCAAGAGGGGAGAGUGGAAUUCCAUGUGUAGCGGUGAAAUGCGUAGAUAUAUGGAGGAACACCGGUGGCGAAAGCGGCUCUCUGGCUUGUAACUGACGCUGAGGCUCGAAAGCGUGGGGAGCAAACAGG